rnacentral:lncRNA from 1 species
AUUAACUACUAAGAGAGGAAAGAAAUGUCUAAAGAAUACAGUAAAAGGAGAUGUAGGAAGCAACCACCACCUGUAGACUGGGAGAGAAACUGAGGAAGGAACAGGUUUGGAAGAGCCCUUCCCCUCCCCACACACCUGAGACUUGCAUCUCUUUGAAGAAGGUGUGGAUGGAAAAGUUUGUUGAGGUGCCAAGGUCUGGUGUGGCAGCAGGGUGCCAACCAAGGACACUUGCUAGGAAGUCACUUGCUGGGGUGAUAAUGACACUUGGGGGAAAACCACUUGAGAGGGCACCUGCAAAACUCUGGAGGGCAAGUGCCGUUGGGUGUUCCGCACAGAGAAUCCUCCCCACAGAGAAUCACAGCGGAGAAUCCUCAUGCUGGCAAGGAAGCCACGUGCAGACAGGGAAGAGUGCCAGAACCAGGAGAAGCAAAGCCCCUUCCAGUUGUGUUCCUCAGUGCUUGCAAUGUGUCCACUGGCACUGUGGUGGGCAUGUCCCCCAAGAGUUCACGUGUGGAAACCUAAUUCCCAUUACAACACUGUCAAGAGUGUAACUUCGGAGAGAUGAUCAGAUCUGCCCUCAUGAGUGGAUUAAUGCUGUUUUUAAAGGAGCGGGGUCAUGUGAACAAGGAUGUGGUUGGCCUCCUUCUCUCAUGCAUGUGCUGUCUUGCCCUUCUAUCUUCUACCAUGGUAUGUGACUAGUAAGAAGACCCUUGCCAGGUGUGGGCACCUUGACCUUGUACUUCCUGGCCUCCACAACUGUAAGAAAUACAUUUCUGUUCUUCAUGAAUUACCCCAUGUUGGGUAUUCUGUUAAAGCAGCACAAAACAGACUUCUUUUGCAAAAAUAUUUCUAAGUUACAACUCCAGUAUCACAAAACAGAGGAUAAGGAUGAAUCUUGAGCUGGCACAAUGACCAUUAUCUUACAUAACCACUCUUUAGCCUGAAGUGUCUUGACUUUUGAAUGGUUUGAAAAUAUACCUUAGAUGAUUUCAAUCCUUUAAAAUUGGUUGAAACUGUUUUAUGGUCCAACAUACGUUUUGUCUUGGUAACUGUUCCUUGUGUGUAUUCUGCAUCUGUAAUGUUCUGUAGGUACCAAUAAGGUCAAAUUGAGCCAUAUAAUCCAAGUCUUCUAUAUUAAUAGCUUUUUCUCGACUGGUUCUUUAAAUUGCUGAGGGAGGUAUAUUGAAAUCAUUAACUCUGUAUUUGCGUAGUCCUCAGCUCUGUCAAUUUUGGCUUCAUCUAUUUAGCAGUUUUGUUACUGUCUGCACACACAUUAAGGAUUAUUAUGUUAUGAGGAAUUAUCCCCUUUGCUAUUAUAAAAUAUUCUUCAUAGCUGGCAUCAUCCUCUGUCCUGUAGCCUGUUUUGCACAAUAUAGCUCGCUCAUUCUUUUGCUUUUCACCUUUCUAUGUUACAGUGGGUUUUGAAAUUUUUUUUUAAAUUUUUGUAGUUGUAGACGGACACCAUACAUUUAUUUUAUUUGUUAUACAUGAUGGCAGAAUACAAUUCAUUUCAUAUUACACAUACCGACCACAAUUUUUCAAGACACUGGUUGUACACAAAGUAUUUUUACACCAUUCAUGUCUUAUACAUGUACUUAGGGUAAUCAUUUCUAACUCAUUCUACCAUCAUUCGUACCUCCUUACCCCCUCCUUUCCCUUCCUACCCCUUUGCCCUAUCUAAAGUUCCUCCAUUCCUCCCAUGCUCCCCCUGCCCAGUCGCCAUUAUGCAUCUUCAUCCUUAUAUCAAAGAAAACAUUUGGCCUUUGGUUUUUUGGGAUUGGCUUGCUUUGCUUAGCAUUAUGUUCUCCAACUUCAUCCAUUUACCUGCAAAUGUCAUGAUUUUAUUUUUUUAAUGCUGAGUAAUGUUCCUUUGUGAAUAUAUACUAAAGUUUCCCUAUCCAUUCAUCUACUGAAGGGCAACUAGGUUGGUUGCACAAUUUAGCUAUUGUGAAUUGUGCUGCUAUAAACAUUAAUGUGGCUGUGUCCCUGUAGUAUGCCGUUUUUAAGUCCUUUGGGUAUAAACCAAGGAGUGGGAAAGCCAGG